rnacentral:rRNA from 1 species
AAGUGCGAAUGCUGACAUAAGUAACGAUAAAACGGGUGAAAAACCCGUUCGCCGGAAGACCAAGGGUUCCUGUCCAACGUUAAUCGGGGCAGGGUGAGUCGGCUCCUAAGGCGAGGCUGAAAAGCGUAGUCGAUGGGAAACAGGUUAAUAUUCCUGUACUUGGUAAAGCUGCGAUGUGGGGACGGAGUAGGUUAGGUUAUCGCACUGUUGGAUAUGUGCGUUUAAGUUGGUAGGUGGGAAGUUUAGGCAAAUCCGGGCUUCCUUAACACAGAGAGAUGAUGACGAGGCUCUACGGAGCUGAAGUAACUGAUACCACACUUCCAGGAAAAGCCACUAAGCGAAAGGCUUUACUAAACCGUACUGAAAACCGACACAGGUGGUCAGGUAGAGAAUACUCAGGCGCUUGAGAGAACUCGGGUGAAGGAACUAGGCAAAAUAGCACCGUAACUUCGGGAGAAGGUGCGCCGGCGUAGAUUGUAAGGGCUAGCCCCUGAAGGUUGAACCGGUCGAAGAUACCAGCUGGCUGCAACUGUUUAUUAAAAACACAGCACUCUGCAAACACGAAAGUGGACGUAUAGGGUGUGAUGCCUGCCCGGUGCUGGAAGGUUAAUUGAUGGUGUAAUCGAAAGAGAAGCACCUGAUCGAAGCCCCAGUAAACGGCGGCCGUAACUAUAACGGUCCUAAGGUAGCGAAAUUCCUUGUCGGGUAAGUUCCGACCUGCACGAAUGGCAUAAUGAUGGCCAGGCUGUCUCCACCCGAGACUCAGUGAAAUUGAAAUCGCCGUGAAGAUGCGGUGUACCCGCGGCUAGACGGAAAGACCCCGUGAACCUUUACUAUAGCUUGACACUGAACAUUGAAUUUUGAUGUGUAGGAUAGGUGGGAGCCUUUGAAGCAGUGACGCCAGUCAUUGUGGAGGCGACCUUGAAAUACCACCCUUUAACGUUUGAUGUUCUAACGAAGAUGACGAAACGUGGUCUCGGACAGUGUCUGGUGGGUAGUUUGACUGGGGCGGUCUCCUCCCAAAGUGUAACGGAGGAGCACGAAGGUUUGCUAAUCACGGUCGGACAUCGUGAGGUUAGUGCAAUGGUAUAAGCAAGCUUAACUGCGAGACAGACAAGUCGAGCAGGUACGAAAGUAGGUCAUAGUGAUCCGGUGGUUCUGAAUGGAAGGGCCAUCGCUCAACGGAUAAAAGGUACUCCGGGGAUAACAGGCUGAUACCGCCCAAGAGUUCAUAUCGACGGCGGUGUUUGGCACCUCGAUGUCGGCUCAUCACAUCCUGGGGCUGAAGUAGGUCCCAAGGGUAUGGCUGUUCGCCAUUUAAAGUGGUACGCGAGCUGGGUUUAGAACGUCGUGAGACAGUUCGGUCCCUAUCUGCCGUGGGCGUAGGAGAAUUGGUUGGGGCUGCUCCUAGUACGAGAGGACCGGAGUGGACGCACCACUGGUGUUCCGGUUGUGUCGCCAGACGCAUUGCCGGGUAGCUAAGUGCGGAAGAGAUAAGUGCUGAAAGCAUCUAAGCACGAAACUUGCCAAGAGAUGAGUUCUCCCAAUCUAAGAGAUUGUAAGGGUUGUUGUAGACUACGACGUAGAUAGGUCUGGUGUGUAAGUGUAGUGAUGCAUUGAGCUAACAGAUACUAAUUGCCCGAGAGGCUUAACUAUACAACGCUCAAG